rnacentral:rRNA from 1 species
AGAGUUUGAUCCUGGCUCAGGAUGAACGCUGGCGGCAUGCCUAAUACAUGCAAGUCGAACGAGAGGAAGGAAAGCUUGCUUUCCUAAAUCUAGUGGCGAACGGGUGAGUAACACGUAGGUAACCUGCCCAUGUGCCCGGGAUAACUUCUGGAAACGGAUGCUAAAACCGGAUAGGUAGCAGACAAGCAUUUGACUGCUAUUAAAGUGGCUAAGGCCAUGAACAUGGAUGGACCUGCGGUGCAUUAGCUAGUUGGUGAGGUAACGGCCCACCAAGGCGACGAUGCAUAGCCGGCCUGAGAGGGCGGACGGCCACAUUGGGACUGAGACACGGCCCAAACUCCUACGGGAGGCAGCAGUAGGGAAUUUUCGUCAAUGGGGGGAACCCUGAACGAGCAAUGCCGCGUGAGUGAGGAAGGUCUUCGGAUCGUAAAGCUCUGUUGUAAGAGAAAAACGGCACUCAUAGGGAAUGAUGAGUGAGUGAUGGUAUCUUACCAGAAAGUCACGGCUAACUACGUGCCAGCAGCCGCGGUAAUACGUAGGUGGCGAGCGUUAUCCGGAAUGAUUGGGCGUAAAGGGUGCGUAGGUGGCAGAUCAAGUCUGGAGUAAAAGGUAUGGGCUCAACCCGUACUUGCUCUGGAAACUGAUCAGCUAGAGAACAGAAGAGGACGGCGGAACUCCAUGUGUAGCGGUAAAAUGCGUAGAUAUAUGGAAGAACACCGGUGGCGAAGGCGGCCGUCUGGUCUGGAUUCUGACACUGAAGCACGAAAGCGUGGGGAGCAAAUAGGAUUAGAUACCCUAGUAGUCCACGCCGUAAACGAUGAGAACUAGGUGUUGGGGGAAUAACUCAGUGCCGCAGUUAACGCAAUAAGUUCUCCGCCUGGGGAGUAUGCACGCAAGUGUGAAACUCAAAGGAAUUGACGGGGGCCCGCACAAGCGGUGGAGUAUGUGGUUUAAUUCGACGCAACGCGAAGAACCUUACCAAGGCUUGACAUUGAAUGACCAUCUUAGAGAUAAGAUUUCUUCUUCGGAAGCAUGAAAACAGGUGGUGCAUGGCUGUCGUCAGCUCGUGUCGUGAGAUGUUGGGUUAAGUCCCGCAACG